rnacentral:lncRNA from 1 species
UUUGGGUUUAGAAUAUAGGUUUUAGGUUUAGAAUUUAUGAUUUGGGUUUAGGAUUUACCGUUUGGACUUAUGGUUAAGGUUUUGGGUUUAGGGUAUAUAAUUUGGGUUUAAGAUUUACGUUUUGGGUUUAGGGUCUAUGACUUGGGUUUAGGGUAUAGAGUUUAGGUUUAUAGUCUAGUUUCUGGGUUUAGGGUAUAUAAUUUGGGUUUAGGGUCUAGGAUUAGGAUUUAUGGUAUAGGGUUUGGGUUUAGGGGUUUAGAUUUGGGUUUAAAAUUUAGGGUAUAUGGUUUAGAAUUUAAGAUUUAUGGUAUAGGGUUUAGAAUUUAAGAUUUAUGAUUUAGCUGGAAGCGUUAGCGUCGUUAAAAUUAGCGUUUUUAUUUUUUAUAGCUAUUUUUUAUUUAAUUUAAUAUUUUUUAAUUA